UUACUUUUACACGUACGGAUAUUGGGCGUAAGAGCUCGUAGGCGGUUUGUCGCGUCUGCUGUGAAAGACCGGGGCUCAACUCCGGUUCUGCAGUGGGUACGGGCAGACUAGAGUGAUGUAGGGGAGACUGGAAUUCCUGGUGUAGCGGUGAAAUGCGCAGAUAUCAGGAGGAACACCGAUGGCGAAGGCAGGUCUCUGGGCAUUAACUGACGCUGAGGAGCGAAAGCAUGGGGAGCGAACAGGAUUAGAUACCCUGGUAGUCCAUGCCGUAAACGUUGGGCACUAGGUGUGGGGGACAUUCCACGUUUUCCGCGCCGUAGCUAACGCAUUAAGUGCCCCGCCUGGGGAGUACGGCCGCAAGGCUAAAACUCAAAGGAAUUGACGGGGGCCCGCACAAGCGGCGGAGCAUGCGGAUUAAUUCGAUGCAACGCGAAGAACCUUACCAAGGCUUGACAUGAACCGGUAAUACCUGGAGACAGGUGCCCCGCUUGCGGUCGGUUUACAGGUGGUGCAUGGUUGUCGUCAGCUCGUGUCGUGAGAUGUUGGGUUAAGUCCCGCAACGAGCGCAACCCUCGUUCUAUGUUGCCAGCGCGUUAUGGCGGGGACUCAUAGGAGACUGCCGGGGUCAACUCGGAGGAAGGUGGGGACGACGUCAAAUCAUCAUGCCCCUUAUGUCUUGGGCUUCACGCAUGCUACAAUGGCCGGUACAAAGGGUUGCGAUACUGUGAGGUGGAGCUAAUCCCAAAAAGCCGGUCUCAGUUCGGAUUGAGGUCUGCAACUCGACCCCAUGAAGUCGGAGUCGCUAGUAAUCGCAGAUCAGCAACGCUGCGGUGAAUACGUUCCCGGGCCUUGUACACACCGCCCGUCAAGUCACGAAAGUUGGUAACACCCGAAGCCGGUGGCCUAACCCUUGUGGGGGGAGCCGUCGAAAGUGGGACCGGCGAUUGGGACUAAGUCGUACCAAAGGUAACUCACA
rnacentral:rRNA from 1 species